rnacentral:rRNA from 1 species
GAUGAACGCUGGCGGCGUGCCUAAUACAUGCAAGUCGAGCGAACGGACGAGAAGCUUGCUUUUCUGAUGUUAGCGGCGGACGGGUGAGUAACACGUGGAUAACCUACCUAUAAGACUGGGAUAACUUCGGGAAACCGGAGCUAAUACCGGAUAAUAUUUUGAACCGCAUGGUUCAAAAGUGAAAGACGGUCUUGCUGUCACUUAUAGAUGGAUCCGCGCUGCAUUAGCUAGUUGGUAAGGUAACGGCUUACCAAGGCAACGAUGCAUAGCCGACCUGAGAGGGUGAUCGGCCACACUGGAACUGAGACACGGUCCAGACUCCUACGGGAGGCAGCAGUAGGGAAUCUUCCGCAAUGGGCGGAAGCCUGACGGAGCAACGCAGCGUGAGUGAUGAAGGUCUUCGGAUCGUAAAACGCUGUUAUUAGGGAAGAACAUAUGUGUAAGUAACUGUGCACAUCUUGACGGUACCUAAACAGAAAGCCACGGCUAACUACGU